rnacentral:rRNA from 1 species
GAUGAACGCUGGCGGCGUGCCUAAUACAUGCAAGUCGAGCGAAUGGAUUAAGAGCUUGCUCUUAUGAAGUUAGCGGCGGACGGAUGAGUAACACGUGGGUAACCUGCCCAUAAGACUGGGAUAACUCCGGGAAACCGGGGCUAAUACCGGAUAACAUUUUGAACCGCAUGGUUCGAAAUUGAAAGGCGGCUUCGGCUGUCACUUAUGGAUGGACCCGGGUCGCAUUAGCUAGUUGGUGAGGUAACGGCUCACCAAGGCAACGAUGCGUAGCCGACCUGAGAGGGUGAUCGGCCACACUGGGACUGAGACACGGCCCAGACUCCUACGGGAGGCAGCAGUAGGGAAUCUUCCGCAAUGGACGAAAGUCCGACGGAGCAACGCCGCGUGAGUGAUGAAGGCUUUCGGGUCGUAAAACUCUGUUGUUAGGGAAGAACAAGUGCUAGUUGAAUAAGCUGGCACCUUGACGGUACCUAACCAGAAAGCCACGGCUAACUACGUGCCAGCCGCCGCAGUAA